UACGUAGGGCGCAAGCGUUGUCCGGAAUUAUUGGGCGUAAAGAGCUCGUAGGCGGUUUGUCGCGUCUGCCGUGAAAGCCCGGGGCUUAACUCCGGGUCUGCGGUGGAUACGGGCAGACUAGAGGCAGGUAGGGGAGAACGGAAUUCCCGGUGUAGCGGUGAAAUGCGCAGAUAUCGGGAGGAACACCAGUGGCGAAGGCGGCUGCCUGGGCCAGUUCUGACGCUGAGGCGCGAAAGCGUGGGGAGCAAACAGG
rnacentral:rRNA from 1 species